UACGUAGGGGGCAAGCGUUGUCCGGAUUUACUGGGUGUAAAGGGCGCGCAGGGGGGCUUGAUAGUUAGAGGUGAAAUCCUGUGGCUUAACUGCAGAACUGCCUUUAAUACUUCAAGUCUUGAGUGCGGAAGAGAGAGACGGAAUUCCAGGUGUAGUAGUGAAAUACGUAGAUAUCUGGAAGAACACCAGUUGCGAAGGCGGUCUCUUGGUCCGUAACUGACACUUAGGCGCGAAAGCGUGGGGAGCAAACAGG
rnacentral:rRNA from 1 species